CUGGCUGUUUUGCAAAACAACGAAAUUCCCUUUUUAUACGAAGAGAAAACAUUUAGGAAGUUCUUUCGAUUUCCAAAAUCAUCUCAUCCAGCAACUCAAGCCGUAUUAAUCCUCGAGCAAUCCUCGAUUCCAUUUGAACUUCGGGCGAGUUACAAUUUAACCUUAAAGAAACAUGUUGCGUGGGAAAUAGAUAUUUCGCAGUGAUGAGCCAACCCACCGUUUCCCGUGCAUUGAAUAUAUUUCUAAAUUGGUGAUGGAGCGUAAACACGGCGAAGUGCGAUUUCCUAAUUCUGUUGAAGAACAUAAUAGAACUAAAACCGGUGUCUACAGAAAUACGAAAGCGCCGGCGAAAAAAGGACGUGAAAAAAUGGACGGAAGCCGAAAUUAAAACAGUGCUGUGCUAUAUGCAGGAACACCGAAACAUCGAGGCGAGUUUUCGACAAAUUAGUUAUAUAUUUUGAUUUAAUUACAUCUCCUUUAAUUUCAGAAACCAACAGCGAUAAUCUAUUAUAGUAAGUUGCUUGCAGUAACAAAUAUUUAAGCGACAUGGAAGAUUCUAAAAUGUAAGGUUCGGUAUUUAAAAAGCCAAAUGAAAUCGGCAGAACACUGGCUAAAUUCCACGGGCGCUGGAGUAGAGGAUGGCGAUGUAGAGCUGACAGUGAUGGAUAAAGUGCUUAAAAGUUGUCCGCAUUACAAACAAUUAGCGGACAUUUUUGCUACGGAGAGGGAAGCUGAGGUGGUGAUAAUGAGCUCCUCUGCAAUGGAACUCGACUCUGUGGAAAAUGUUGUGGAUAAUUUGGAAGACCUCGCAGGAAGAACAUGACAUUUCUGAAUUGGCAUCUGGCUCAUCUGCGGCCAGCCCGUUUGCAAAAAAAAUUAAGGCCAAACACCAACACACUGCCAUUGAUAAACUGGCUGCAUUAGAAUCUGAACGAAUGAGCUUCAGAGAAAAACAGCUUCAAUUUGAAAUUGAAAAAUUCAAUUGGAUGAAAGAAGCUGAAGCAAACAAAAAUGAAAAUGAAAAGAAAAAAAUUUAAUACGAUUUCCAACUCACAAAAAUGGAGUUGGAGCAAAAUGAAAA